rnacentral:tRNA from 1 species
GGUCCAGCAUGACGUAGUGGUUUAAGCAUUGGACUAUGACUCUGGAGACCAGGGUUUGAUUCCCUGCUUGGCCA